CAGUAAAUAGUUUAAUAAAAAAUUUUAAUUUUGGAGAUUAAAGAUAAGCUAAUGCUUUUUACUGA
rnacentral:tRNA from 1 species